CCUACGGGAGGCACCAGUGGGGAAUAUUGCACAAUGGGCGCAAGCCUGAUGCAGCCAUGCCGCGUGUGUGAAGAAGGCCUUCGGGUUGUAAAGCACUUUCAGCGGGGAGGAAGGCGGUGAGGUUAAUAACCUCAUCAAUUGACGUUACCCGCAGAAGAAGCACCGGCUAACUCCGUGCCAGCAGCCGCGGAAAUACGGAGGGUGCAAGCGUUAAUCGGAAUUACUGGGCGUAAAGCGCACGCAGGCGGUCUGUCAAGUCGGAUGUGAAAUCCCCGGGCUCAACCUGGGAACUGCAUUAGAAACUGGCAGGCUGGAGUCUUGUAGAGGGGGGUAGAAUUCCAGGUGUAGCGGUGAAAUGCGUAGAGAUCUGGAGGAAUACCGGUGGCGAAGGCGGCCCCCUGGACAAAGACUGACGCUCAGGUGCGAAAGCGUGGGGAGCAAACAGGAUUAGAUACCCUUGUAGUC
rnacentral:rRNA from 1 species